UUGAUAAGUUAGCUAAUUUGAUGUUAAAAUAAACAUGAAAUAGAGUUUGUGAAGACCUUAGUGCUAGAAAUACUUGCAUGCAUUAAGUUAAGAUUAUGCAAGUAAGUUGUCCUAUUUUUAUCUUUGAAGACUAAUAAUAGUUGUAAUGAACAUAUCUCAGACAAUAUACACUCGGAUUUACAUUUUAGUUAAACCAUCACCACUUCCACAGCCACCUUGUCUCAAGCAUUCAAUCACAUUCUAAGAUAUCUUUAUUGAAAUUAAGUGUGACUACUUUACCAAAAGACUCUAGAAUGGACCAAUCAAUGAAACUGUCGGUAUCUCCACAACUUUUCAAUUAAAUAGAAAGUUUCAAUCAAACAGGAUACUGAGUGUGCCUACUGCUUCUCAAGACAAUUAAUAAUGGGAGUUGUCAAACUUGCGAUAACUACAAGUUUUUUAAUAAGUAAAAAGGUUGUAUGACUUCGGUAUCCGCAAUAUGGUAUCGUGCAUUGGUUCUUAUCUUAGAAUGGCUCCCUUCCGUAUAGGUGAAAAUAAGAAAGGUUAUCAGUUCAAGCAAAGAUGACAAUGAUCAUUAUGGAGCCGAUCAUGAUGACGAAUACGAUAAUGCAUAUAAUA
rnacentral:lncRNA from 1 species